AGUGAACGCUGGCGGUAGGCCUAACACAUGCAAGUCGAACGGCAGCACAGUAAGAGCUUGCUCUUACGGGUGGCGAGUGGCGGACGGGUGAGGAAUACAUCGGAAUCUACUUUUUCGUGGGGGAUAACGUAGGGAAACUUACGCUAAUACCGCAUACGACCUACGGGUGAAAGCAGGGGAUCUUCGGACCUUGCGCGAUUGAAUGAGCCGAUGUCGGAUUAGCUAGUUGGCGGGGUAAAGGCCCACCAAGGCGACGAUCCGUAGCUGGUCUGAGAGGAUGAUCAGCCACACUGGAACUGAGACACGGUCCAGACUCCUACGGGAGGCAGCAGUGGGGAAUAUUGGACAAUGGGCGAAAGCCUGAUCCAGCCAUACCGCGUGGGUGAAGAAGGCCUUCGGGUUGUAAAGCCCUUUUGUUGGGAAAGAAAAGCAGCAGGUUAAUACCCCGCUGUUCUGACGGUACCAAAAGAGUAAGCACCGGCUAACUUCGUG
rnacentral:rRNA from 1 species